rnacentral:rRNA from 1 species
AUGGCGAACGCGUCGUCCAUCUCGCGUAGCCUCCGGCGAUCCCUCGCUCCUGACGCCCUCCACCGCCUCCUCCUCCAGCGCUCGCGGGCGUUCGUAACGGCUGAGUGCCACCGCCCCGUCGUCCUUCACAAGCGCGGCCCCGACAUCCUCCACGACCCAUGGUUCAACCGGGGAACGGCGUUCUCGAUGACGGAGAGGGACCGGCUCGGCCUCCGCGGCCUGCUCCCGCCCAGUGUCGUUUCCUCGCAGCAGCAGAUCGACCGAUUCAUGGGUGACCUUAAACGGCUGGAGCAGAAUGCAAGAGAUGGGCCAUCUGAUACUUACCAACUGGCGAAAUGGCGUAUUCUUAACAGACUGCAUGACAGAAACGAAACGAUGUACUACAAGGUCUUAAUAGAUAAUAUUGAGGAGUAUGCACCUAUUGUUUACACACUGACUGUUGGCGCUGUUUGCCAAAAUUACAGUGGCUUGUUUAGACGGCCUCGGGGAAUGUAUUUUAGUGCAGAGGAUCGUGGUGAAAUGAUGUCCAUGGUGUACAACUGGCCAGCUGAUCAGGUCGACAUGAUAGUGGUGACUGAUGGAAGCAGGAUAUUGGGCCUUGGUGAUCUAGGGGUGCAAGGUAUUGGCAUUGCUAUAGGGAAGCUGGAUUUAUAUGUUGCUGCUGCUGGAAUAAAUCCCCAGAGGGUUCUUCCAGUUAUGAUUGAUGUGGGAACUAACAAUGAGAAACUCCUCAAGGAUCCUCUUUAUCUUGGGCUACAAGAACACCGUCUUGAGGGAGAAGAAUAUGUUGAAAUUAUUGAUGAAUUCAUGGAAGCUGUUUUUUCUCGUUGGCCCAAUGUGAUUGUACAGUUUGAAGAUUUCCAAAGCAAGUGGGCCUUCAGGUUGUUGCAGCGUUACAGGAAGACUUAUCGUAUGUUUAAUGAUGAUGUGCAGGGAACUGCUGGCGUUGCAAUAGCUGGUCUUCUUGGAGCUGUAAGAGCACAAGGAAGGCCAAUGAUAGACUUCCCAAAGCAAAAGAUUGUUGUCGCAGGUGCUGGCAGUGCUGGGAUUGGUGUUGUGAAUGCUGCAAGCAGGACCAUGGCAAGGAUGCUGGGAAACAACGAGGUUGCUUUUGAGAGUGCUAGGAGCCAAUUCUGGAUAGUCGAUGCUCACGGUUUAAUAACAGAGGAACGUGUAGACAUAGACCCAGAUGCACGUCCUUUUGCUAGGAGAAAGAGUGAGCUAACUCAUCAAGGCCUAAAUGAGGGUGCAAGCUUGAUUGAAGUGGUUAAAAAGGUGAAGCCUGAUGUCAUACUUGGACUAUCUGCUGUUGGUGGUUUGUUCUCAAAGGAGGUUUUAGAAGCACUAAAAGAUUCGUCCUCUUCCAGACCAGCAAUUUUUGCGAUGUCAAAUCCAACUAAGAAUGCUGAAUGUACACCUGAAGAAGCCUUCUCAAUUAUUGGUGAAAAGGUCGUAUUUUCCAGUGGAAGCCCAUUUGAUGAUGUGGAUCUUGGUGAUGGAAAGAUCGGCCACUCUAAUCAAGGGAAUAACAUGUAUCUCUUUCCUGGAAUAGGACUUGGAACCCUGUUGUCUGGUGCACGGAUUGUCUCUGAUGGAAUGCUUCAGGCGGCGGCAGAGCGCUUGGCUUCAUACAUGAAAGAGGAGGAGGUUCUCCAAGGGAUAAUUUACCCUCCAACCUCCAGAAUACGUGACAUCACUAAGGAGGUGGCGGCAGCAGUUGUGAGGGAAGCUGUUGCAGAGGACCUAGCUGAGGGAUACCGUGACAUGGAUGCACGCGAGCUUGCAAGACUGAGCGAGGAAGAAACAGUUGAUUAUGUCAAGAACAACAUGUGGAAUCCAGUUUAUCCAACAGUAGUGUACAAGAAAGACUAG